GGGUUUGAGGGUGACAUCUGAGCGUUUAAAGGGCCGGGGUCAGCUGACGAAUCCAGCCCGCGUCUAGUCCUGGGGAGGCGGGGGCCAGGGUCGCUGCUGCCGGAGGGAGAGAUGACUGCGGAGCGACCCGGCACAGUGCCCCUGGGCAGACCCGGGAGACAGCGAAUGCUGGGAUCAUGGGGAGUCUGUAGGGUUCUGGUGUUUGCCGCGAUCUUCCUUCUGCUGUUGUCUUCAGCAGGAGUCGGGGCCAGGGCAAAGGACGACUUCAGUCUGGUUCAUCCGCUUGUGACCAUGGAGCAGUUGCUGUGGGUGAGCGGGAAGCAGAUCGGCUCUGUGGACACCUUCCGAAUCCCGCUUAUUACCACCACUCCUCGGGGCACUCUCCUUGCCUUUGCUGAGGCCAGGAAAAUGUCAGCAUCGGAUAAAGGAGCUAAGUUCAUUGCUCUGCGGAGGUCCACGGACCAGGGCAGCACAUGGUCUCCAACAGCUUUCAUUGUGGACGAUGGGGAGAGCCCAGAUGGGCUGAACUUGGGGGCAGUGGUGAGCGAUACAACAACAGGAGUGGUCUUCCUUUUCUACUCCCUCUGUGCUCACAAGGCGGGCUGCCAGGUGGCCUCCACCAUGCUGGUGUGGAGCAAGGAUGACGGUGUUUCCUGGAGUUCGCCUCGGAACCUCUCCUUGGACAUAGGCACUGAGAUGUUUGCCCCUGGACCGGGCUCUGGCAUUCAGAAACAGCGGGAGCCUCGGAAGGGCCGGCUCAUUGUGUGUGGCCACGGGACGCUGGAGCGGGACGGGGUCUUCUGCCUCCUCAGCGAUGACCGCGGCGCCUCCUGGCGCUAUGGGAGUGGGGUCAGCGGCAUCCCCUAUGGCCAGCCCAAGCGGGAAAAUGAUUUCAGCCCUGACGAGUGCCAGCCCUUUGAGCUCCCCGAUGGCUCAGUGGUCAUCAAUGCCCGGAACCAGAACAACUACCACUGCCACUGCCGAAUCAUCCUCCGCAGCUACGAUGCCUGUGAUACUCUGAGGCCCCGUGAUGUGACCUUUGACCCUGAGCUCGUGGACCCUGUGGUAGCCGCAGGGGCUGUAGCCACCAACUCCGGCAUUGUCUUCUUCUCCAACCCAUCCCAUCCAGAGUUCCGAGUGAACCUGACCCUGCGCUGGAGCUUCAGCAAUGGCACCUCAUGGCAGAAGGAGACGGUCCAGCUGUGGCCAGGGCCCAGUGGCUACUCCUCACUGGCAACCCUGGAGGGCAGUGUGGGCGGGGAGGACCAGGCCCCGCAGCUCUAUGUCCUGUAUGAGAAAGGCCGGAAACAGUACAUAGAGAGCAUCUCCCUGGCCAAAGUCAGCGUCUAUGGGACACUCUGAGCUGUACACCUGCCAAGGGGUUAGAAGGCCCUGGACUCAGCCUCAGGACCAUGGGUCUGUAGAGGGUCUACUGGAGGAGCCUAGAAGACGGUUCCACCUUCCUUUAGAGUCUAGCGUUUUGCAAAAUCAACUUCUCUUUGACAGGGAAAUCAUUCCUUAGGACUAAAAACUUGGCUUCUCCCACAUAGGAAGAGCUGCCCACACGUGGGAGCGCUUCUCUUCCACAUUGCUGGGUCUGCCCCCCUGCCCUUUCUGCCCUCUCAGGGCAAUGAUUGGUCCUUUUCUUGGACAGGGCUAGGUGGGCCUGUAGCAUUAAAUAAAUGUGAACUCAGGGAACUGGGGAAGGCUUACCUCUUUGGGGUAAGAUACUGGCUUUGGAGAGGGUUGGUGAAAGUUCCAGAAGGGCAGGACAUUUGGUUUCAAGGUGGGGUGAGAUACUAUCCUCCAUGAAACAGGGAGCAGGUGUGUAAAACGCAGAUGAGAAGCCUCUCCCAGGCCAGCCUGGCAGAGAAAUAAGCACUGUGGCAAUUAUGUGAGAAAACAACAUCUCAUCCUAAAGGAGAUGCUGUGAAAAGAACCUGGGCAGCCUGCAGCUGAGUGGGACAGCCACAGCUUUUCUCCACAUGGAAAGAAAAUGCAAUGCCUGGAUGAGACGGUAGGAAUGUUCAAGACAUUCUUUUCUUUUUAAAGAAAUAUUUAUUUAUUUAUUUGUUUGUUUGCUUAUUUAUUUAUUUGUUUGGCUGCGCCGGGUCUUAGUUCCAGUUCCGGCACGCAGGAUCUUCGUUGUUGGUGUGGGAUCUUCGUUGCAGCACCUGGACUCCUUAGUUGUGGCAUGCAAACUCUUAGUUGCAGCAUGCAUGUGGGAUCUAGUUCCCUGGGAUCGAACCCGGGCCCCCUGAAUUGGGAGCACAGAGUCUUAUCCACUGCGCCACCAGGGAAGUCCCUGCACGUUGCAUUUUGAUGUUUCUUAAAUCUCAGUCUACAGUAGUUACACCUCCUAUCCUCUCUUCUUUCUCUCUCUUUUUUUUUUUCCUUUUUCAUACCGUCUACACAGAAAUGUUCAUUUAUCCUGUAGAACGUUCCACUCUCUGGAUUCAUCUGUUUCUUCCUCAGAGUGUCAUUUAACUUUUUUCUUCCAUCCCUUGUAUUUCCAGUUAUCAAACCUGAAGGUUUAAUUAGAUUCAGAGUCCACUGGGUGAGGGAGGCGGGGGACAAGAUUCCUUCGCAGGUGCUCUGUGUUUCCUAUUGUGCUCCCUCAGGAAGCAAGUGCUGCCCGCUUGUCCCUCUCUGAGUAAAGCUGAAUUGAGUGAUGGGUUCAGAUGGCCAUAGCCUGACCCCUCCUUUAUAAGGUUUCCCCAUCAACCUUCCAACUGACAGUUUCAUCCACAGAUGAGUUUUGCCUGAAUCAAUUAUUUCAUGAGGGGUUGUGAAAUGUUGGUUUUUGAAUUCUAUUAUUUUGUCCUCAUUUAUUAGCUGGAAUUCUUUAGUAAAAAGGAACUGUCCCUCAUCAAGGCUGUUGGGUUACCCUGAAGCAUGAUUUGUACGGGAAAGUCAGGAUAAAUGCUUCAUUUCUCCCCUUAACUUGCCAGGUCUCAGAGUAAUCUGAUGUAAUAUUUCACCUUGGCCAGUAAACCACAUUGUUUCCACACAGGACAGACAUACAGAGGCAGAAUCUAUGGGCCUGCGGGGGGACAUCUGAGGGAAGAAAUAUGCGGAGACGAGCACAGGCAGCAUGGCCGGGGAGGGCGGGCUCUGCUCUUCUAACACAGGUGGAGGAAUAGAUAUGACACAGGAAGUGCGGUGGGGGGGUGGCAUCUGCAGCAACUGGGACAUCUGCUAUCCACUGCCACUAAAAAUGCACAUCUGAGAAAGUCUCGCUAACAACUUUCUUUAUCAGAAAUAAUGGAGGAGAGAGAGGAAAUGAUACCAUGAAUGUCUGCCACAUGAGCUACUGCCUCCUUGUGAAGUAGACAUGGCAGGGGGCUUGUAAGGAAGUGAUCAUGUUCCUCCUUCAUAGCCAAGAACCCUCAGCUAAGAGAGAGGCUCCUCAAGGAAGUCUUUCCUUCCCUGGAGGGGGCGGAGUGGAGUCAUUAUAAACCAGAGUCCUGGCCCUACCCCAAACCUGCCUGUAGGUUCAGUGUCUCUAGAAUCAGUCCAGGACCUUGCUUUUUUUUUAAUGUAUUUUAUUGAAGUGUAGUUGAUUUGCAAUGUUGUUAAUUUCUGCUGUACAGCAAAGUGAUUCAGUUAUACGUAUGUAUAUUCUUCUUCAUAUUCCUUUCCACUAUGGUUUAUCCCAGGAUACUGAAUAGUUCCUUGUGCUUAUACAGUAGGACCUUGUUGUUUAUCCAUCCUAUAUGUAAUAGUUUGCAUCUGCUAAUCCCAAACUCCCAAUCCAUCCCUUCUCCACCUCCACUCCCCGUUGGCAACCGCAAGUCUGUUCUCUGUGUCUAGGAGUCUUUUUCUGUUUUGUGGAUAAGUUCAUUUGUGUCAUAUUUUAGAUUCCACAUAUAAUUCCUCUAAUAAUUGGCGAUGUCGAGCAUCUUUUCAUGUCCCUGUUGGCCAUCUGUACAUCUUCUUUGGAGAAAUAUCUAUAUAGGUUUUCAACCCAUUUUUCGAUUGGGUUUUUGUUUUGUUUAUUUUGUUGUUACUGAGAUAUAUGAGCUGUUUGUAUAUUUUGGAAAUUAAGGUUUUGUCGGUCACAUCAUUUGCAAAUAUUUUCUCCCAGUUCGUAGGUUGUCUUUUCAUUUUGUUUAUGGUUUCCUUUGCUGUACAAAAGCUUGUAGUUUGAUGAGGUCCCAUUUGUUUAUUUUUGCUUUUAUUUCUAUUGCCUUGGGAGACUGACCUAAGAAAACAUGGGUAUGAUUCAUGUCAGAGAAUGUUUUGCCUGUGUUUUCUUGUAGGAGUUUUAUGGUGUCAUGUCUUAUAUUUAAGUCUUUAAGCCAUACUGAGUUUAUUUUUCUGUAUGUUGUGAGGGUGUGUUCUAACUUCAUUGAUUUACAUGCAGCUGUCCAGCUUUCUGAAAACCACUUGCUGAAGAGACUGUCUUUUCUCCGUUGUAUAUUCUUGCCUCCUUUGCAGGGCCUUGCAUUUUUUUUUUUUUAAUAAAUUUAUUUAUUUAUUAUUUAUUUAUUUUUGGCUGUGUUGGGUCUUCAUUGCUGCACACGGGCUUUCUCUAGUUGCAGCGAGCAGGGGCUACUCUUCAUUGCAGUGCGCGGGCUUCUCAUUAUGGUGGCUUCUCUUGUUGCGGAGCAGGGGCUCUAGGCGCGCGAGCUUCGGUAGUUGUGGCUCACAGGCUCAGCAGUUGUGGCUCACGGGCUCUAGAGCCCAGGCUUGGUAGUUGUGGCACAUGGACUUAGUUGCUCCGCGGCAUGUGGGAUCUUCCCGGACUAGGGCUCGAACCCGUGUCCCCUGCAUUGGCAGGCGGAUUCUUAAUCACUGCGCCACCAGGGAAGUCUGGGCCUUUCAUUUUUAAAAGGAACUACAGGAGAGUCUAACACUGGGGUCUUUGGGCUGCACUUUGAGAAACUGUCUCUUAGACAUUUUAGCCUAGAUUUAGGAAGACUAGAUUUCAAAACACUGAAGAAAAGAUCUCAAAAGAGAAACUGUUUCAACAGGAAGAAUUUGUGUUCAAAAAACACCAAUAACCAUAAAAGAUGGCAGGGACCAAACCUGCCUGUUUACCUGGGCAUCUUAAACCCCACCACAACACCUAGCACAUGGUGGAUGCUUAAUACAGGAGGAAAGACGAGUCCAGGAUGGGUAAGGAGCUGGGCCAGUGUUUCUAAGUGUGGUUCCAGGUAGGUGGCAGCCACUCCCUGGGAACAUGUUAGAAACGCUUGACCUUCCCCCUAUACUGCCUGCCCCUCUCCCCACCAGACCUGCAGAAUCAGAAGCUCUGGGGGUGGGGCCCAGCACUCAGUGUGUUAGCAAACCCUCCAGGGGAUUCUAAUGCACAUUCAAGUUUGAAAACCAAGGUUAGAACACAAGUCAGGGGUGCAGAAAGGGUUGAAGAAUUGUUGGUUGGUUGGCUUUUUUUCUUUUAAUAUAAAGGGGGAAUUAGAAGGAGUGGCAGGAGACUGAAAGGGGAAGGUAUGUGCUUAUUUGUACAAAUAGGACAAAGUGGACUUUGAAAACUACAGCCUGGUAAGUGCCAUCUGGAUCAGCAGCCAAAUUCUAGCGUGGAGCCCUAACCCCCUAACACAGGCCCUUCUGCCCCCUUCGAAGCCUCUCCCCCCUCCCCCCAGACCCUUGGCUCAGCAUUGAAAGGACUCUGGGCUCUCCCCGUUUAUCAGGCUGCCCUUAAACAAUAGAAGGAGCCUAACAAGUAAUAUUGAGCAGCAAAUACCAGGGACCAGGCACCAGGUACACUUUCUCACUAAUUCAGUCCUCACAACCAGAAGUCAUUAUCAGGAAGGAGCAGGACAAGGUCCAUCAUUUUUCCCCCAAAAAAAGGAUUAGGAAAGAAGAUCUAAGACAAAGGCUUGCAUUUCUUUUUGACAAACACACACACACACACACACACAC